AGUUUUGGAUAUGGCUGCCACAUCCGUCACCUCAUUGAUCGCCAGGGUCGAUUCAGCUGCUCUGGAUGGCUAGACGUCUGGGUGUCUCCUUCUUCCCUCGCUGCUCCGUAUGCAUCCCUUCUGAAGCUGCACUCUCAGUGGAAGAGGGGGACCAUCCCCGAUAGAGGACGGCACGCCAAGGGUAGAGAGCAGCUGCGCUCCCUGCUAGAACCUCCAGACAAGCUCUCGAUAAUAUCCUGUCUUAAAAAAAAGAUCUGUUAGGUGUGCUUCAGAACAAGUGGAUAAGUACACUUGAGGAAUCCAUGUAUAAUUU
rnacentral:snRNA from 1 species